AAGAGAUUUACCAUGUAGUUCUGUGAUCUAAUUGGAAUGAGAAGGUCACACUGUACCUAUUCUUAAAUUGCAUCGUUUGCUUCUCCCAUUGUUACUUGCAUUUUAUGCAGACUCUUACUUGUGCCAGUUAGCUACAAAUUUGGGAUUAUAGUCAGUCCACUGCUCCUCCAGAUAAAUCUGAGGCAAAAUCUACUGCAUUAGCUCUAAUAGAGUCCUUUGCAAGCUUGACCUAACCUGGUCAGGAUCUGUUCUGAUUGAAUUGUAAAGCCUGUUAUGUCUCUUGCUGUACAUUUCUCUUGCUGCUAAAGUCUUCAUGUUUAGUCGGAUAUACUAAUUCUUCCAAGAUCCUGGCCAUCUCAGCCCUACCAUCGGUCUACCCUUUGAGGUGUUUGGGAUUUAACAAAAAUGAACUACUUCUCUUGCCCAUGGAUUACCGGCAUGACAAUAAGGCUCAUUAUUUUCAGAAGCUUGUAACUAUGCAGGAGAAUUUAUAUGUACUUCUGUGUGAUGAAGAAUUGGAUGCAGUCUCUUUGGAAGCUGUGCACCAACAAAAGAUGAAGAAUAGACAAGCCCACUCUUCAUCAGACAGAGUCUAGCUCUGUCACCCAGGCUGGAGUGCAAUGGCUCAAUCUCUGCUCACUGCAAGCUCCGCUUCCCGGGUUCAAGCGAUUCUCCUGCCUCAGCCUCCGGAGUAGCUGGAAUUACAGGCAUGCGCCACCACACCCGGCUAAUUUUUGUGUUUUUACUAGAGACGGGUUUCACCGUGUCGGCCAGGCUGAUCUCGAACUCCUGACCUCGUGAUCUGCCUCCUUGGGCCUCCCAAAGUGCUGGGAUUACAGGAGUGAGCGAUGCACCUGGCCUCUGUCUUCUUAAUCUAUUACUGAGGUGCUGUUAGAUAACAGGAGCAAGAAUUGUUUUGCUAAAAACACUUUAAAAAAAUAAUGCUAAUUUAUUGAUGGCUUAAACUGGUGAAGAGAAUUACUGAUGCCAACAUAUUUGGAACACUUGUCCAAGAUGAACAUUUUGAAAAGUUAUUUUGUUUCCAUAUAUAAAAGACCCAUAAGAUUCUCAAACGCAGUUCUUGAGAACUAAUUGCCAGCUGAAGACAAACAUUAAUUGGAGUCAAGGGAAGAUGGAUACGAGUUUGCACCUCCUCAUUCUUAAAUAAUUAAGAAGCUUGUUCUAGAAUGUGGUUGUUAUGUAGAUGGAAGGGCCUAACUCAAAUCUUUUAAUAUUAAGAGAAAAUAAUCCAUAUCAGAUGACCUCAAGCUGGAGACUGGAGAAUGCUGGAGAUCUCUGAGACACUUUCAAGGGUUCUGCAAGGUCAAAACCAUUUUUAUAAUAAUAUUUUCAAAUUUGCAUUCUUCAAUCCCAUUCUUUCACAAAGGUGAAGUAGAACUUUUCAGACGCUAAAUAGCAUGUAAUAUCACAAUAGAUUGAAUGCACAAACAGCUUAUGAGAAACCAGCUGUCGUUUAUUGUCAGACAUUACAGAGAGUUACAAAGAGAGAAAAUGAUGCCACUCUUGUAAUUUUUUAUUUUGGAAAAUAUGCUUAUUUUCAUAAAAAUAGAAUCAGUAUGUUAACUAAUAGGUGAUUUGUUUGCUCAUGUUAAAUGGAAUAAAAAACAUUUCAUAUUUUCAUUUUUAAUUUCACAUAAUGUAAAUAAAAAUUAAAUCUUACUUAAAACCAAAGCAUUUUGGGGUGCUCAGGAAGUUUUUAGAGCAUAAACGGAUAUUUAAACGCAAAAGUUUGAGAACUACUGAUCUUAAAUUAUAUUGAAUUGUAAGAUGAUUUACUCCCACAAUAUAGUUUAUAAUUUUUCAGGUUGUACAAACCAUCUUAUUUCUUAGUUUGCCUGAAACACAAUGAGUUAGAGUAAUGGCGAUAGAUUUCUUAGCAAUUUGAACAAAAUAGAAUGAUUACAUUUUAUCCAAAGUAUUUUCUGAUUGAUUUAUGGUAUUUGAUAAAAUUUUAUUUUAUUUUUAAGAAAAGACUAGAAUUAGGAAACUGAUUUUAAUAUUUUAAUUCUUUACAGUAAUAAGUAUAAAUUAUUUAUAGGGAAAAUUAAUUUUUAAUAUGAUUUUGAAAUUUGUUUUUUAAAUUGGAAGCAAGAUUUAUAUCAACAAUAAUAAAAUCAAACUUUCUUCUCUUUAAAUUUUACAGGGAUGUGUUUUAAAUUUGUAUUUGUGCAAAGAAAAAUAUCUUUCCAAAUAUACACUUCUAGAUCUCAAUUAAUUUUAUAUAUGUAUAUACCGCAUAACCAACACCAAGAUCAAGAUGUAAAAUAUUUUCAAGAAUAUCCCAUUUGACCAGUUUUAAGCAAACUGUUUUCCAAGAGAUUUCACUCAUUUGUAUUCCCACCAGCAAUCUAGUUGUUCUAUGUCCUUCGCAACCUUUGACAUUGUCAAGCUUUUAAACUGCAGCCAUCCUAAUGUGUAUGUGUCACGGUAUCUUGUAGUCAUUUUAACUUUCAUUUCAGUCGUGAUUACUGCUCUUCAGCCUCUUUCCGUAUCAUUAUGGACCAUCUGAAUAUCUAUUUUGUGAAAUGCUCCUUCAAACGUUUUACUCAUUCAUCAACCAUAUUCUCUAUACUAUGUGUAGACGUUACUUGUAGUCUAUGUGCUUUAUAAAUCUUCUUUCCUGAUCUCUGACCUCUAUAAACAUAACUUUUUAUUGUAAUCAGAACAAAAUAAUGAAUAUGUACUUUGCUGCGUAGUGAUUUUUGUAUCCUUCAGAAAAUCUUUGACAACUGUAACAUCAAAAUGCAUUUUAGUAUGUUUUUUGCUGCAACAUUAUUUUAUAUGUUACAGUAGUUCUAUGAUGAAUCUCAAAUAAAUUAUUUUGUAUUUUGUGAGGAAGAAUAUGAGACUCAUUUAUUUUUCCAUAUGGAUAUGCACUUGAUCUGCCAUCAUUUAUUUCAAAGAACAUUCUUUCCAGAAUGGCCCCUUUUAGUUAAAUCAGGUGGCUACAAUGCAUGGUUUUGCGUCUGAACUGUUUAUUCUUCUCCUAUGAUUCUCUGUUUUUUUUUUCAGAAUUCUCAGAAAUUAUGCCUUUGAAUUGCAGUUUUAGAACAUUUACAUUUAAUGUAUAUAUUAAAUAUGUCAAUUGUGUUUAAAUCUACCAUUCUCAUAUUUGAUGUCUCUCUGUUUUUUAUCUGUUUAUUUCUCCUUUUAUAUUUUCAUUUUUCUUUUGGAUUAAUUGCAUUUUUCUAGCAUUUCAUCUUAUCUGCACUAUACUUUUAUUAGACAUACUUCUUUUUUUAAUUUAUUGCUCUCAAAUUUACAGUAUUCAUAUUUAUCAGUCUAUUUUCAAAAUGUUAUAUCACUUCACAUAUAAUGUAAGAAUCAUACAAUAUUCCCCCUUUGUCUUUUUGCUGUUAUUGUCAUGUAUUUUGGCUCUAAAUAAUAAUAUGUAAAAUAAAAUUAUACAUUAGAUAAAAGGCUU
rnacentral:lncRNA from 1 species